CGUAGGGUGCGAGCGUUAAUCGGAAUUACUGGGCGUAAAGCGUGCGCAGGCGGUUUUGUAAGACAGAUGUGAAAUCCCCGGGCUCAACCUGGGACCUGCAUUUGUGACUGCAAGGCUAGAGUACGGUAGAGGGGGAUGGAAUUCCGCGUGUAGCAGUGAAAUGCGUAGAUAUGCGGAAGAACACCGAUGGCGAAGGCAAUCCCCUGGACCUGUACUGACGCUCAUGCACGAAAGCGUGGGGAGCAAACAGGAUUAGAUACCCUGGUAGUCCACGCCCUAAACGAUGUCAACUGGUUGUUGGGUCUUUACUGACUCAGUAACGAAGCUAACGCGUGAAGUUGACCGCCUGGGGAGUACGGCCGCAAGGUUG
rnacentral:rRNA from 1 species